GAUGAACGCUAGCUACAGGCUUAACACAUGCAAGUCGCGGGGCAGCAUGGGGGUUGCUUGCAAUCCCCGAUGGCGACCGGCGCACGGGUGAGUAACGCGUAUCCAACCUGCCCUUCACCACGGGAUAACCCGGCGAAAGUCGGACUAAUACCGUAUGUUGUCCAUUGACGGCAUCCGAUUUGGACGAAAGGUUUGGCGGUGAAGGAUGGGGAUGCGUCCGAUUAGCUGGACGGCGGGGUGACGGCCCACCGUGGCGACGAUCGGUAGGGGUUCUGAGAGGAAGGUCCCCCACACUGGAACUGAGACACGGUCCAGACUCCUACGGGAGGCAGCAGUGAGGAAUAUUGGUCAAUGGGCGUAAGCCUGAACCAGCCAAGUAGCGUGCAGGAUGACGGCCCUAUGGGUGGUAAACUGCUUUUAUGCGGGGAUAAAGUGGUCCACGUGUGGGUUUUUGCAGGUACCGCAUGAAUAAGGACCGGCUAAUUCCGUG
rnacentral:rRNA from 1 species